rnacentral:rRNA from 1 species
GUCGCUCUCGUGAUUGCAAUUCCCAUCAUCCUGUUCCCCAUAGCGUUAAUCUGGUACCUGAAUAUCGGCGGUAUCUGUGCCAUUCGCAAGGAAGCCAGGGAAAAACGAGUUGCCUGUGAAGAAGGAAGAGGGUGCCAGGAUAGCCGAUCAGGGUAAAUAAACGUUUUUCACGACGAGCGGUUGCGGAGGAGAUCGAAAACUUGAUUAAAAGAAAGAGGAUAAUUCUACAGGGUUUAAGCCGGGUAGGGAGAACAUAAUGAACAGAGCUACUAUCAGGCCAUUCAUCAUGCCCUUACUCCUGGUAUUCUGUACGCUAUUCUACUACUUCGGAGAGUUGAUAGACUGGGCGG